rnacentral:tRNA from 1 species
GGGAAUGUGGCUCAGUGGUAGAGUGCUUGCUUAGCAUGCAUGAAGUCCUGGGUUUAAUUCCACAGUACCA